AAAUUUUAUGUGUAUUUUGCCACAAUUACAAACAUUUAACAAAUAUGUUAACCUCACUUUUUUUUUGAUACCGGAGAUCGAACUCAGGUCCUUGUGCUUGCAGGGCAGGCGGCAGCACCACUGAGCUAAAUCCCCGGCCCUACCCUUACUUUUAAGAGAAUGGAUAUAGGAAGGGAAACAGAGAGUGUGUGUACAGUGCUGGGUUUAGAUUGGAGGAAGCUCCAGUCCCCAAUCUGGUCCCUGGUCUGUGGGCCCUACACUUCUGCUGGGUGCUGGCCCAUGAUUUAUGGUGUUUUGACUUAGAAUCUUCCCACUUUUUGAUUGUAUCAAAGUGAUACGCAUUCUAUAAAAGAAACCUUUGAAUUUUGGUCUCUUCCUGCCUGAGUUACAAAGUGCAGCUACGAGUCAGAGUCACUUGUUUCAAAUGAUUAAAUAAUGGAUACUCUACAGCAGGGCUCCCCAAACCACAGAGCACUACUGGUCUUUGGCCUUUUAGGGACUGGACUGCACAGCAGGAAGGAAGUGUUGGACAAGGAAGCCAAUCCUUAUCCGUAUUUACAGCCCUUCGCAUAACCACCUGAGCUCUGCUUCCUGUCAGAUCAACAUUAGAUUCUCAUUGGAGCAUGGACCUACUGUGAACUGCGUAUUUGAGGGAUCUAGGUUUUGUGCUUUUUAUGAAAAUCUUAUUCCUGAUGAUCUGAGGUGGUGAUGCUGGUACUGAGGAGUGGUUGCAAGUGCACAUUAACAGCAGAGAGGUUUGCACAGAGACUAUGAUAAAUCAACUGUUCCUAGACUCAAUAUCAAAACCCUGUCAGUGAGUGGCUAGCAAUUCUACAUUAUGUAACCGUGGGGCUUCCCACCUGCACCCUUCUCUCAACAACCACAGUGAUGAGAGAACACUUCUGCCCUCAGUCAUGGAAUGAACCCGUCACCACCUCACCAGUGUAUUUGACUCUGCUCCUUCCUCGGUAAUUCUCACUAAUUUAGAAAACUAUCUUUUCUGC
ensembl:lncRNA